rnacentral:rRNA from 1 species
UACGUAGGGGGCAAGCGUUGUCCGGAAUCAUUGGGCGUAAAGCGCGCGUAGGCGGCCCGGUAAGUCCGCUGUAAAAGUCCAGGGCUCAACCCCUGGAAUGCCGGUGGAUACUGCAGGGCUAGAGUCCGGAAGAGGCGAGUGGAAUUCCUGGUGUAGCGGUGGAAUGCGCAGAUAUCAGGAAGAACACCCGUGGCGAAGGCGGCUCUCUGGAACGCAACUGACGCUGAGACGCGAAAGCGUGGGGAGCAAACAGG